rnacentral:lncRNA from 1 species
UUCCAGGAGCUGGGUUUCAUUGUUAUCCCUCCUGGACCAGGAGCCACCUACCAGGUCUCUCCAUAGGUCCUUUGCGGGAUUCUUUCUAAAGCACAUUUGCUUGCUCUGCCGUCUUGCCUGAGUGAAGAACCGCCAUCGUGAACAGAAUUGAAUUCCUGGAGGAGGGCGGCUGGCUCCAGUUCCGCCAGGUCUGGAGAGCAACGCUGAGACCAGCAGGUGGAGACCGUGGGGAGCCUAACAUCCUAAUGUCAGCUCGCCUCGGGGAGCACUUUCCCCCAUGGGAAGCUCACCAAGAACAGAAAUACCAGCUUGCCUUGGGAGAGACUUCACAAUGACUCUUCAUGGCUACAAAAUCCCAGCAUGUUCCUUUGCCAAACCAAUCCUUCAUUGCCGAUAUAGGAGAGACUUUCAAUCUUGAGCUAUGCUUUGAGGCCAGAGCCAGAUAAAGCAGGAACUCGAUACGUGUUUGUUUUCUGACUGAUUGUGAAGGAGACUUCAAGAGCAUAAGGUACAGGAUUACUGGUAGCAGUGACAUCCACCCUGCGCAGUUCCCAUGGGAAAUGAAGUCACUCCCUUUUCUAAGUCCUGCCUAGGGAAUGAGAGGCUCUGUGGGAAAGUCUACAGCCGUGGCACUGCCAACAUGAGUUUAUCUAUCAAGAGGAAGCUCAGACAUUCCCAGUGGCAUCUUUGCAGGAUGAAGGACUUCAAGAGGCUCAGAUGCUGCUGUUGCUGCCUCUCUCAUUACAGGCUGAACUCAAGACAGGCCUGUGAGGCCCCCAACAGGAGCCAAGAUGAGUUUUAAACACAAAAGAGGUGGCUUCCUCUUUUGUCACUCUGGAGAGUGACAGAUGUCACACAUGCCAAGUGUCCUGUGCAGGUUUCCAUUCUCAUUCAUACUCCCAAGGCUGUUCAUUUCCUUCCCAGCCAACUGCCCUCUGUCCUUUAUGCUCCUUUCCAUUUGUCACCCCAUGUGCCCUUGGCACAUUCUUACGGUCACUGAGGAAACAGCAGCCUUCCCUGAUUAUAGUAUGGAAAAGCCAAUCCUGACAAUUACAGAAAGUGGUACUGACAGUGAAAAGGAGAAGAGUUAUUGCAUGGUGAGUGUUUGACACCUUCCUGGAGCCCACCUCUCUGAAAAGGAGGAUCACUGACUCGUGUGGCCAAUGGCAGACACUGUUCAUUUUCUCUCUACUUCAAGUCUCUCCUCUGAGUCUACUAUAAAAAUACCACCAAAUUUUAAAUGGGCACAGAACCACUUGGAAUAAAGACCACAUUUCCCAGUCUCUUCUGAGACCAAGUAUGGCCACGUGACCACACUCUGGUCAUGAGAUCCAAGCAGAAGUGGUUUGUUCAACUCCUUUGUUUUCUUUUUUUUUCAUAUAUAUAUAUUUUUUUGGUACCAGGGAUCGAACUCAGGUCCUUGCGCUUGCGCAGGAGGCGGCGAAACCACUGAGCUAAAUCCCUGGCUCCUUUUUUCAUAUUUUUAAAACAUGGAACUACAUUUGUCCCUCAGUGUCUAUGGGGGGAAUGGUGUUCCAGAACACCUGCCCACCUCAGAGAUACCAAAAUUCACAGAUGCUUGUGUCCUUUCUAUAAAGUGGUGUAGUAUUUGCAUAGCUUAUAUAUAUCCUCCCUGUGUGCUUUAAAUAAUCUCUAAUGACUUAUAGAACUUAAUACAAUGUAAAGCCAUAUAAUAGUUGUUAUACUGUAUUAUUUAGGGAAUAAUAACAAGAAAAAUGUACAUAUUGAGUACAGAUGAAAUUUUAAAAAAUCAAUAUGUAUGCUGGGGAUUGCACCCAGGCAUAGUAGGCAAGGAUUCUGACUACUGAGUUACAACCCCAUGCAUUUUAAGUUUAAUUUAAUUAAUUUAUUUUAUUGGUAUGUUUGCAGUACAUGAUAUUUAUGUUCAUUUUGGAGUAUUUUCAUUCUCUUAGAAAAGUGAUUGCUGAAUUAGUGGGUAGAAGUAUGUUUAACUUUGUAAGACAUUGCCAAAGAGUUUUCUUAAGUGGCUGUCCUAUUUUACGCACUAUCAGCAACAUGCAAGAGUUUCAGUUGCUUUGUGUCCUUACUGACAUUUAAUAUUAUUGGUCUUUCUAAUUUUAUAUACUCUAGUGGAUGUAUAUUGACAUCUUAUUGGUAUAUAUUGCAGUUUUCAUUUCCAUUUCUCAGUUGACUGUUGACUAGUGAUGUUCAACAUUUUCAUGUGCUUAUUGCCAUUCAUAUUCUUACAUGUGGUGUCUGUUUAAAUGUUUGCUCAUUGUAAAAUUGGGCUGCUUGUGGUUUUCAAAAAGCUUUUUUAUUGAGUCAUAAUUUACAUGUCACAUGACACAUUUCUAAGUAUGGAAUCCAGAGUUUUCACAGAUUCAUAUGCCUGUUUAACCACCACCUUGAACAGCAUAGACAUUUCUCUUAUUUCCAAAGGUGCUCUAAAUGACUCUUCGGAGCCAAUCUUCAUCUUUUUGUUUUGACUCCUGACUUCAACCAGCCACUGAUGUGUUUUUGUCAUUAUAAUUUUGCCUUUUGUAGAAUUUCUCAUAAAUAGAAUUAUAUAGUAUGUAUUCUUUUGUAUCUAGCUUUUCCACUUAACAUAUUGUUUUUGAGAUCUAUCCACAUAAUUGUGUGUAUCACUAAUGGUUUAUUUUAAUAGGUAACAUUUCAUUAUAUGGAAGUGCUACAAUGUAAUUAUUCAUCUGUUAGCUGAUAAAUGGCACAAAUGGUGGGUUGGUUCCAGUUUGGAUUUAUU